GUACACUCCUGCGGGAGGCAGCAGUGGGGAAUUUUGGACAAUGGGCGAAAGCCUGAUCCAGCAAUGCCGCGUGAGUGAAGAAGGCCUUCGGGUUGUAAAGCUCUUUUGUCAGGGAAGAAACGGUGAGAGCUAAUAUCUUUUGCUAAUGACGGUACCUGAAGAAUAAGCACCGGCUAACUACGUGCCAGCAGCCGCGGUAAUACGUAGGGUGCAAGCGUUAAUCGGAAUUACUGGGCGUAAAGCGUGCGCAGGCGGUUUUGUAAGUCUGAUGUGAAAUCCCCGGGCUCAACCUGGGAAUUGCAUUGGAGACUGCAAGGCUAGAAUCUGGCAGAGGGGGGUAGAAUUCCACGUGUAGCAGUGAAAUGCGUAGAUAUGUGGAGGAACACCGAUGGCGAAGGCAGCCCCCUGGGUCAAGAUUGACGCUCAUGCACGAAAGCGUGGGGAGCAAACAGGAUUAGAAACCCGAGUAGUCCCAUGAU
rnacentral:rRNA from 1 species